rnacentral:rRNA from 1 species
GGGUUAAGUCCCGUAACGAGCGCAACCCUUGUCCUUAGUUACCAGCACGUUAUGGUGGGCACUCUAAGGAGACUGCCGGUGGACAAACCGGAGGAAGUGGGGAUGACGUCAAGUCAUCAUGGCCCUUACGGCCUGGGCUACACACGUGCUACAAUGGUCGGUACAAAGGGUUGCCAAGCCGCGAGGUGGAGCUAAUCCCAUAAAACCGAUCGUAGUCCGGAUCGCAGUCUGCAACUCGACUGCGUGAAGUCGGAAUCGCUAGUAAUCGUGAAUCAGAAUGUCACGGUGAAUACGUUCCCGGGCCUU